UACGUAGGCAGCGAGCGUUGUUCGGAAUUACUGGGCGUAAAGAGUGUGUAGGCGGUGCUCUAAGUUCGGUGUGAAAUCUCCUGGCUUAACUGGGAGGGUGCGCCGGAAACUGGGGUGCUCGAGCGUGGGAGAGGAAAGCGGAAUUCCUGGUGUAGCGGUGAAAUGCGUAGAUAUCAGGAAGAACACCCGUGGCGAAGGCGGCUCUCUGGAACGCAACUGACGCUGAGACGCGAAAGCGUGGGGAGCGAACAGG
rnacentral:rRNA from 1 species